UACGGGGGGGGUAAGCGUUGUUCGGAAUUACUGGGCGUAAAGGGCUCGUAGGCGGCCAACUAAGUCAGACGUGAAAUCCCUCAGCUUAACUGGGGAACUGCGUCUGAUACUGGAUGGCUUGGAUUCGGGAGAGGAAUGCGGAAUUCCAGGUGUAGUGGUGAAAUGCGUAGAUAUCGGGAGGAACACCAGUGGCGAAGGCGACUACCUGGCCUGUUCUUGACGCUGAGGCGCGAAAAGCUAGGGGAGCAAACGGG
rnacentral:rRNA from 1 species